GGAGGGUGCAAGCGUUGUUCGGAUUUACUGGCGUAAAGCGUGUCUAGGCGGGAUUUGUAAGUUAGGGUGUGAAAGACCCCCGGCUUAACCGGGGAGGGUCGCCUAAUACUGCAGGUCUUGAGUCCCGGAGGGUGAGUGGAAUUCCCAGUGUAGAGGUGAAAUUCGUAGAGAUUGGGAGGAACACCGGUGGCGAAAGCGACUCACUAAUCGGGCACUGACGCUCAAGCACGAAAGCGUGGGUAGCAAACAGGAUUAGAUACCCUGGUAGUCCACGCCGUAAACGAUGGAUACUAGGUGUUGGAGGAAUUGAUCCCUUCAGUGCCGACGCUAACGCAUUAAGUAUCCCGCCUGGGGAGUACGGCCGCAAAGGCUA
rnacentral:rRNA from 1 species